rnacentral:snoRNA from 1 species
AACCCAUGAAUGGGAGUUUUUCUAAUCAACCCCUUGAACCUAUCCCAUGUCUGACUUAAAGUCUCUUCAGGUUCCUGUUGAAAAUAGGAUAUCUCCUGCUUGCCUUU